rnacentral:rRNA from 1 species
AUUGAACGCUGGCGGCAGGCUUAACACAUGCAAGUCGAGCGGAGAUGAGGUGCUUGCACCUUAUCUUAGCGGCGGACGGGUGAGUAAUGUUUAGGAAUCUGCCUAUUAGUGGGGGACAACAUUCCGAAAGGAAUGCUAAUACCGCAUACGUCCUACGGGAGAAAGCAGGGGAUCUUCGGACCUUGCGCUAAUAGAUGAGCCUAAGUCGGAUUAGCUAGUUGGUGGGGUAAAGGCCUACAAAGGCGACGAUCUGUAGCGGGUCUGAGAGGAUGGUCCGCCACACGUGGACUGAGACACGGCACAGACUCCUCCGGGAGGCAGCAGUGGGGAAUAUUAGUACAUGGGGGGAACCCGGAUCCGGCCAAGCCGCGUGUGUGAAGAAGGCCUUAUGGUUGUAAAACACUUUAAGCGAGGAGGAGGCUACUGAGACUAAUACUCUUGGAUAGUGGACGUUACUCGCAGAAUAAGCACCGGCUAACUCUGUGCCAGCCGCCGCAGUAAUAC